rnacentral:rRNA from 1 species
UACGUAGGGUGCAAGCGUUGUCCGGAAUUAUUGGGCGUAAAGAGCUCGUAGGCGGUCUGUCGCGUCGGCUGUGAAAACUCGGGGCUCAACCCCGAGCCUGCAGUCGAUACGGGCAGACUAGAGUGCAGUAGGGGAGACUGGAAUUCCUGGUGUAGCGGUGAAAUGCGCAGAUAUCAGGAGGAACACCGGUGGCGAAGGCGGGUCUCUGGGCAGUAACUGACGCUGAGGAGCGAAAGCGUGGGGAGCGAACAGG